rnacentral:rRNA from 1 species
UACGAAGGGGGCUAGCGUUGUUCGGAAUUACUGGGCGUAAAGCGCACGUAGGCGGACUAUUAAGUCAGGGGUGAAAUCCCGGGGCUCAACCCCGGAACUGCCUUUGAUACUGGUAGUCUCGAGUCCGGAAGAGGUGAGUGGAAUUCCGAGUGUAGAGGUGAAAUUCGUAGAUAUUCGCAAGAACACCAGUGGCGAAGGCGGCUCACUGGCCCGGUACUGACGCUGAGGUGCGAAAGCGUGGAGAGCAAACAGG